GCCGUGGACGCGCCCCGUGCGCGCCCCCGUGCGCGCGCGCGGCCGCCUGCGCCCCGCCCACCGCCCCCCGUAGCCCGGGCCGCCGCCGCGCCUUCCCCAAGCGCAGGCUUUGUGGGUCUUUGCGAAAACGCGCGUCCAGGAAGGCGGGGAGAGGCGGCCGAACUGAGUUCUGUUAGACGCAGUCAUCGGAGGGUUUGCAGUGCACUGAGAGCUCCUGACUGAGCGCUCUUUGAGAGCAUUGACCAUGACAUACAUCUGCUGGGGUGUCCUCAUGGCGAGGUCAGAAGCACGGCGCCGAAUCGUAGGCUCCAUCCGUGGCCGUCCAUCUUUGGUGUUAAUACUUUCUGGGACAGUUGUUUGCCACUCUGGGACCCCUUAUGUGACAGCUCCAUUUGAACCAGCAUGAAAUGUCCCUCCUCGGCUGCAUUCUAGAACCUGGAACCUCCCAAGUAAGACCUAAGCCUGCCUUCACCUGGUGGGGUUAUCUGCUUCCCUGCCUGGACUCCUGUCCAGACCAAGAACGGCACCUUCCUCAUAUGCCUUGGCUCCUGGCACCGAGUUCCUCCUGCCUGUGCUCUCAACAUUACACUAGUGUGGGGGAGCCCCAAGAGAAUUGGGUUCUCAACACCAAGCAUGGUUAUUUCUGGUGAAGUACAGACCACGCAAACCAUGUCUUUAUUUAUGCCACUGAGCCUGCAUUAGCUCCCUUACCAAACCUAGGAUCCGACUGGCUCCUCUUGAGCAACUGACCUCCCAACAGCCCCCGGUCACCUUCCCAUGGAUAGUGGCCAAGGAAGGCUUUUCUCAUUCUGCCGUCAUAACGGUGGCUUCUUUGUUCAGUAUAGCUGUGGGAAAUUUAUUUUCGUCUCUGUUUUUUUGCCAGGAGACUGGAUCAUAAUCUGACAAUAAAGAGAAAUUCCAACCUGAAGGAUUUUGACCACAGAGGAAAGAACUUCCUGAAAGUUCUCUUUCAGGAAGAAUGAUGGGAUGUCCCUGGGGCCAAGAAUCAAAAGUUGUGUUCUUGGCCUCAACCCUGUCUGGCUGCCAUGCUCCUUGUCAGUAGCAUGGAAUUUACCUCAGCGCGAUCUUGUAAGGAUUAUAGGAGGGGGAAAGGCUUUCUAGAGGAGAGAAAGCCUCCUCUCCUUAUAAUCUUGAAUGGACAGCUGAAGGAUACUGUACAGUUUUAGGAACUUUUCCCAUAAAACCACAUUGACUUUCAGAAAAUUAGCUCUCCUGUCACUAGCUAGUGGGAACCUCAGUUCACAAAUUCACUGGGGUGUAAGAAAUGCUAUGUUUUUAAUUUCCCCUAAAUCCAAUUCUGAAUCUCUGUUAGUUUCCUAGGCCUGACGUAAUGAAGUACCUCAAGCUGAGUGGCUUAUACAAUAGGAAUGUCUCACAGUUCUGGAGUUUGUGGUGUUCUCCCUGUGCCCCUGUUUCUGUGUCCACAUUUCCGUUCUUUUAAGGAUACAGUCAUAUUGGCUUAGGGCCCACCCUAGUGAUCUCAUUUUAACUUAUAACUUAAUUUUUUUUUCUAAGAGAACCGAUGAGCUGGGGAGAGGCACAGAGGGAGGGAGAGAGAUAAGCAGGCUCCCUGCUCAGUGCAGAGCCUGAUGGGGGGCUUGAUCCCACGACCUUGGGAUCAUGACCUGAGUUGAAAUCACGAGUUGGAUACUCAACCAACUUAGCCACCCAGGUCCACAGGGCCAGAGACUCCUUUGUCUUUCACCACCUGUGAGAUUUCCUGUCACUAAGGAGACUCGCCAGUGACGCCCACAGAGAAUGGUAGGUCCACAUGAGGCCGCCCGGCGGGGACGGGAUGGAAAGCAGAACCACGGGGACACUUGUGCAGAGACACACAACGGCUGCAGGAGACCAAAGAGCGCCUGAUAAGAGGGGCUCUUCUGCUGAGAGACGCCACCAUGCACUCAAAGAUCUCAAACCCAGAAAAUACUGACGACAGACGUUUCCUUCAGUGAUUCUCAGCUGGGUGAGCGCUGGAGUGCCAAGGGUUGAAGCAUGUCUUUCUUCCCCCGACUCUCAAGAUGCCUGGGCAGCCACUUGGGGUCAUCACCCUUUCUUAGAGCCCCCGGGUGCCUAGUGGGAGAGCCAUGCCUCUCGGGCGUGUUGGGACGGCAAAACGAUUGAGAACCAAGGCACAGGUGGAUGAUCUCGGCGACUUCCAAAAUGGACGGGUGUAUGGCUUUCCCAAGGCGCCAGGAGAAUUAGAAUCCCAGGAAACCUACCUGUGGGGGUACAAGUAUUCUGUGCCAAGGUCUCUGUUUGGCGUGAGUCUUCUGAAACAACCUGAGGCUAUUGCAUAUUCCAAGAUACUAAGUUUAAGGCUACUUAAAAAAAAUCUGUAGGUUGCCAGAGUUCUCAUUGUCCUGCAUGUAUUUUACAGAAUAUUUUAUCUCUUCUUAGUAACACCUUUUUGUACUAACGUCUAGGAAGAUAACUCCGAGGUGGUGUAAGCAGCGCUGCUCAGAUUUCCACGUGCGUGUGCAUCGCCCGAGGAUCCUGUUAAAAUGCAGAUUCUGAACCAGAAGGUGCAGGCAAGGGCCUGAGAUUUUGCAUUUUUAAGACGUUCCUGGGCAGGACUGGUUACAGAAUUUGCAGGGCCCUGUGCAAAAUAAAGAGGCAAGAGCCCUUGUUUAAAAAUUACGAAAAAAAAUUCAAGGUCGGGGUGCCUGGGUGGCUCAGGUGGUUAAGCGUCCACCUCUUGAUUUCAGCUCAGGUCGUGAUCUCACAGCGUGUGGGUUCGAGCCCCGCAUCAGGCUCUGGGCUAAGACUGCGGAACCUAUUUGGGAUUCUCCGUUUCCCUCUCUCUGCCCCUCCUGUUCUCUCUCUCUCUCGAAAGUAAAUAACAAAUAUUUAAAAAAUCUUUUCGAGGUGAAGGGAGAACAUUCAA